CCGGAAGGCAGGAGUGCCUGCAAGGGAGCGCGGAGACAGGUGGUGCAUGGCUGUCGUCAGCUCGUGUCGUGAGAUGUUGGGUUAAGUCCCGCAACGAGCGCAACCCUCACCUCUUGUUGCCAUCAGGUCAUGCUGGGCACUCUAGGGGAACUGCCCCGGUCAACGGGGAGGAAGGCGGGGAUGACGUCAAGUCAUCAUGCCCCCUACGUCCUGGGCUACACACGUGCUACAAUGGCCGGUACAAAGGGAUGCCACACCGCGAGGUAGAGCUAAACCCAAAAAGCCGGUCUAAGUUCGGAUUGGGGUCUGCAACUCGACUCCAUGAAGGAGGAAUCGCUAGUAAUCGCGUAUCAGCACGACGCGGUGAAUACGUUCCCGGGCCUUGUACACACCGCCCGUCACACCACGAAAGCUAGCUGUACUCGAAGUCGCUGAG
rnacentral:rRNA from 1 species